UACAGAGGUCUCAAGCGUUGUCCGGAAUUAUUGGGCGUAAAGAGCUCGUAGGCGGUCUGUCGCGUCUGGUGUGAAAACUCAGGGCUUAACCCUGAGCUUGCAUCGGGUACGGGCAGACUAGAGUGUGCUAGGGGAGACUGGAAUUCCUGGUGUAGCGGUGAAAUGCGCAGAUAUCAGGAGGAACACCGGUGGCGAAGGCGGGUCUCUGGGGCAUAACUGACGCUGAGGAGCGAAAGCAUGGGGAGCGAACAGG
rnacentral:rRNA from 1 species